rnacentral:rRNA from 1 species
UACGUAGGGGGCAAGCGUUGUCCGGAUUUAUUGGGCGUAAAGAGCGUGUAGGCGGCCAAGCAGGUCCGCUGUGAAAACUCGAGGCUCAACCUCGAGACGUCGGUGGAAACCGUUUGGCUAGAGUCCGGAAGAGGAGAGUGGAAUUCCCGGUGUAGCGGUGAAAUGCGCAGAUAUCGGGAAGAACACCCCGUGGCGAAGGCGAUCUUCUGGACGGAUACUGACGCUGAGGCGCGAAAGCUAGGGGAGCAAACGGG